GACGAACCGUGCAAACGUUGUUCGGAUUCACUGGGCUUAAAGGGCGCGUAGGCGGGCUAUCAAGUCAGGGGUGAAAUCUUUCGGCUCAACCGGAAAACAGCCCCUGAUACUGAUGGUCUUGAGGAAGGUAGGGGCAUGUGGAACUUCCGGUGGAGCGGUGAAAUGCGUAGAUAUCGGAAGGAACGCCGGUGGCGAAAGCGACGUGCUGGACCUUUUCUGACGCUGAGGCGCGAAAGCUAGGGGAGCAAACGGG
rnacentral:rRNA from 2 species